rnacentral:ncRNA from 2 species
CACUUAUCCAGAAAGGUGGAGGGACCGGCCCGAUGAUACCUUGGCAACCACUAGGCACAAGCCUGGACGGUGCCAAUUCCGGCAGAGUGUAAUCUGGAAGAUGAGAG